UGAGUGAGCUCAGUGACAGCUCCAGUCCUCUCAGAGCGAGACGAGAAGAGUAGCAGCUCAAGCACACCCGGCCCCUCAUCACCAAGGUACGCCAGCACACACCUCCCUCCCACACCUGUUCGUCGAGUCGGGGCUGCCACACACGCCUACCAAACUCACCCUCAGAGGAACGCUCGUCUACAACUUCACCAUGAACUUCAAGCUGGUCUUCUGGCUCUUGGUGGUGGCUCUGGGCACGGCGACGGCCAGAAUCCUGAGUCUGAGGAGGUCAUUCCCAGGCCAGCGGAUCCGAGGCGCCACGAACUACGGCACCCACGCCUUCGGGGCCAACGGCUUCGUGAGCAGGCCACUCUCAAGACUGACCAGCAGAGACAGGAACAGCUAAAAUGCCACCAUGACGUUCCAGCCAGAUGCUCCUUCUUCCAUUUUUAUUUAAUUUGACUUCUCAGCAAAUAAUCAAGUAUAGUCUAUCUACCACUCGACCUGUCACCAAUUAGAUUACUGAUAAGAGCUGCCUCUAAGCAGGAUUUGGGCAUUAAAUAUUUUAGGAAUGAUGUAUUUACCGUUUUAGGGUAAAUCAGCUUUCCUUCCCUACUCUGUUUUAUCCGUCACCGAACACAAGGACAAGUCAGAGGUACAUUGCCUCCUUGGCCUUGAGCCUCGCCGCCGCCUGGUUCGGGUCGGGACAGCUCUCCCGGCAACCUGAGCAUCCUGGCAACACGCUCAAGGCCACUCUGUCUUUCUUUGGCAGAGUGGCGUGCACUCACUCACUCCGUUCUCGGGGAUACUGGUGUAAACACAGGUUUUCGUUUUCAUUAAUAUAUGCCUUUUUGUAGACAAGCCUGUGAGAAGACGCUGUACUUGCCUUCACUUUAUAGGUCUAUCGAUCGGGGAUGUUUUCUUCACUCAGCUCUUUAAAGAGGAGGCAUGUCUAUCUUGUGUACAUAAUAUUAUAUAUUACCGGAGAACCAUUACAUUAUUUCCUCGUAACGAGGGACUCGUUAUGUAAAUGUUGCGCGCCUCUCUUUCUUCCAUGAAUCUGGUAUUCAGGAGCCUAUUUUGGCGUGCCAGUAAGAUGCUGGGUAUUUUUUACCUAUGACCUGUAAAUACAUUAUGACAUAUACCUAUACUGAAGUCUCACCAUACACUUCCUGGAAAACUCUACUGUUUUCUGUGUUCAGGAAGAAUUGUUAAACUGUGCUGGAAGCAAAUGUGAUAUUCUUAAUUUUUCUUACUUUUUUAUACUAUGUUUGCAAUUACAAAAUAUAUGAUACAAUGUU